rnacentral:rRNA from 1 species
AGAAAAUAAUAAUGAUUCUGUCAGUAGUGGCGAGCGAAAGCGGAAGAGACUAAACCUGUGGUGUGUGAUACCGGUCGGGGGUUGCAUCAUGGGGGUUGUGGGAGGCGUCGUGGCAGUUCUGACCGGCUGUUGGCGUGAUGUUCAGGAUGGUAGGUGAAUGGUCUGGGAAGGCCAACCGGAGUGGGUGAGAGUCCCGUAGCUGAAAUUGUUCUGACCGCGUGGCGUUUGUCCCGAGUAGCACGGGGCUCGUGGAAUCUCGUGUGAAUCUGCCAGGACCACCUGGUAAGUCUAAAUACUUUCUAGUGACCGAUAGUGGAUCAGUACCGUGAGGGAAUGGUGAAAAGUACCCCGGGAGGGGAGUGAAAGAGUACCUGAAACCGUGUGCUGAUAAUCCGUCAUAGCCCCCCUGUUUUUUGUGGGGUGGUGGCGUGCCUUUUGAAGAAUGAGCCUGCGAGUCAGUGGCAUGUUGCGUGGUUAACCAUGAGUGUGGGUAGCCGUAGCGAAAGCGAAUCCUAAUCUAGGGUGUGUGUGGCAUGUUCUGGACCCGAAGCGGGGUGAUCUACCCAUGGCCAGUGUGAAGCAGAGGUAAGACUUUGUGGAGGCGCGAACCCACUUAGGUUGAAAACUGAGGGGAUGAGUUGUGGGUAGGGGUGAAAGGCCAAUCAAACUCCGUGAUAGCUGGUUCUCCCCGAAAUGCAUUUAGGUGCAGCGUCGCGUGUUGCCCGGCGGAGGUAGAGCUACUGGGUGGCUGAUGGGCCCCACAGGGUUACUGACGUCAACCAAACUCCGAAUGCCGUCGGGUUGUAGCGUGGCAGUGAGACUGCGGGGGAUAAGCUCCGUGGUCGAGAGGGAAACAGCCCAGAUCGCCGGCUAAGGCCCCUAAGCGUGUGCUAAGUGGGAAAGGAUGUGCGGUCGCGCAGACAACCAGGAGGUUGGCUUAGAAGCAGCCAUCCUUGAAAGAGUGCGUAAUAGCUCACUGGUCAAGUGAUCGUGCGCCGACAAUGUAGCGGGGCUCAAGCACACCGCCGAAGCCGCGGACCCAUGACGUUGUUCCCUUCAUCGUGCGCCUUGUGCGUGUGGUGGCAGGGGUUGUGGGUGGUAGGGGAGCGUCCUGCACCGGGGGAAGCCUGUGGGUGACUGCUGGUGGACGGUGCGGGAGUGAGAAUGCAGGCAUGAGUAGCGAUACUAGGGUGAGAAGCCCUAGCGCCGAAUGACCAAGGGUUCCAGGGCCAGGCUAGUCCGCCCUGGGUGAGUCGGGACCUAAGGCGAGGCCGACAGGCGUAGUCGAUGGAUGACGGGUUGAUAUUCCCGUACCGGCGAAGCACCGCCCAUGCUGACGCGCGGGUGCUAACCCACGCCCAGCCACCAAGUUCAGCCGCGCCUACUCCUUUCGGGGGGUGGUGUGGUUGUGGUGGUGGGGUCUGGGGAUCCUCCGUGCAGGUAGGCAAGCGUGUUAACAGGGGUGACGCACAGUGGUAGCCCGGCGGACCUGAUGGCUUGGUCCGUUCAAGCGCGCAGCCCGUCCUCCAGGUAAAUCCGGGGGGCUGUCUUUGAUGACGGGGGUGAGGCGUGAUGGUGACCUCACGAUUGGUGGGGGAUAACAGGGUGAUCCUGGGGUGCCGAGAAAAGCCUCGACGCGAUGGUGCUAGCCGCCCGUACCCUAAACCGACACAGGUGGUCGGGCAGAGUAUGCCUAGGCGCACGAGUGAAUCAUGGUUAAGGAACUCGGCAAAAUGCCCCCGUAACUUCGGGAGAAGGGGGGCCUGAUCCCUGAAGCCCCAUGCGGGCUAGGGGGGAGGGUCGCAGAGGCCAGGGGGAAGCGACUGUUUACUAAAAACACAGGUCCGUGCGAAGCCGUAAGGCGAUGUAUACGGACUGACGCCUGCCCGGUGCUGGAAGGUUAAGAGGAACCAUCAACCCUCUCGGGGGUGAAGUGGUGAAUUUAAGCCCCAGUAAACGGCGGUGGUAACUAUAACCAUCCUAAGGUAGCGAAAUUCCUUGUCGGGUAAGUUCCGACCUGCACGAAUGGCGUAACGACUUCCCCGCUGUCUCAACCAUGAGCUCGGCGAAAUUGCAGUACGAGUAAAGAUGCUCGUUUCGCGCAGAAGGACGGAAAGACCCCGGGACCUUUACUAUAGCUUGGUAUUGGUGUUUGGUCAUGCUUGUGUAGGAUAGGUGGGAGACUGUGAAACCGUGACGCUAGUUGUGGUGGAGUCGGCAAGUGAAAUACCACUCUGGUGUGAUUGGGUACCUGAACCUUGGCCCGUGAUCCGGGUUGGGGACAGUGCCUGGUGGGUAGUUUAACUGGGGCGGUUGCCUCCUAAAUGGU